rfam:Bosea sp. WAO WAO_contig_6, whole genome shotgun sequence.
CCAGUCGGUCGGACGGCCGCUCCCGCUUCGCGGGGGAGGAAAGUCCGGGCUCCACGGAAACACGGUGCCGGAUAACGUCCGGCGGGGGCGACCCCAGGGAAAGCGCCACAGAGAUCGAACCGCCCCAGGCCUCGGCCCGGGGUAAGGGUGAAAAGGUGCGGUAAGAGCGCACCGCGUACCCGGCAACGGGAACGGCAUGGCAAGCCCCACCGGGAGCAAAACCAAAUAGGGACGAUGCUCUCCGUGCAAGCGGGGAGGGGCCUGUUUCCUGGCCUGGUCGUCCGGGUUGGUUGCUCGAGGCGCGCAGCAAUGCGCGUCCCAGAGGAAUGGCCGUCACGCCGCGGGAGAAAUCCUCCGGCCAUCCAGAACCCGGCUUACAGGCCGGCUGGCGCC